CCCUUUCAUCAGUCAAAAUGUCUGCUUCCUUGAGUUGUCAGAGUGUGAUAUCGGUGACAAACAUGUUGACAUUCGUUCAAUAAUUUGUUCAAUAACGGUUUGAGAUUAUUCUACUUUAAAGUGUUGUGAUAUAUUCUAACGAUGACCAGUUGUUUUGAUACGUGGGCGAGGCUUUGACAAAUAGCGUGUUUCUGGCUAGCCAAUUAUAUAGCAGCUAACGUUAGCCAAUGUUACUUGGCUGUUGCUCGCGUCUUUGUUUCCACACCUUUGCCCCACAGAACGCGCUUGCCAGAGUCGACACUUCGAUAUACAAUAACUCUGCAACACGAGCACUUCAUGUCACUGCAGCAAGAAUCGUGCAGCUCGUAUUCGGGUGGGGAAAGGAGACCGACCACUAACCUAUGAGCAAGCACUCCACCCCCACCACAUAGGACACCGCAAGCUGGCUCUCCCAGCACACUAGUAACCUACAGGGAUUCCAUUCCAGUCUAGAACUAUUCACUACUUGUAAAUCAUGUGUUGGAGUUAAAUGGACUUAUGAAAAACUCAGUGGAAUGCUUUUUCGUUUAUUGAUUUCUCAUGACACAGUCACAUUGAACAAAGCAUUAAAAAGCUGCUUCAGUGCAAAAAGACAAGGCACACAGAUUACAUCAUCUUCGUCCAUAUCAAAGGUUAGAGUAUGAACAAUUCCCUUAAAUAUCAGUGAUAUAUUCCUGUCUGUAAGGCCACAUUGAUUUUUCAAAACAAUUAAAACGAUUCCACACGAA